rnacentral:rRNA from 1 species
GGUUAAGCGACUAAGCGUACACGGUGGAUGCCCUGGCAGUCAGAGGCGAUGAAGGACGUGCUAAUCUGCGAUAAGCGUCGGUAAGGUGAUAUGAACCGUUAUAACCGGCGAUUUCCGAAUGGGGAAACCCAGUGUGUUUCGACACACUAUCAUUAACUGAAUCCAUAGGUUAAUGAGGCGAACCGGGGGAACUGAAACAUCUAAGUACCCCGAGGAAAAGAAAUCAACCGAGAUUCCCCCAGUAGCGGCGAGCGAACGGGGAGCAGCCCAGAGCCUGAAUCAGUGUGUGUGUUAGUGGAAGCGUCUGGAAAGGCGCGCGAUACAGGGUGACAGCCCCGUACACAAAAAUGCACAUAUUGUGAGCUCGAUGAGUAGGGCGGGACACGUGGUAUCCUGUCUGAAUAUGGGGGGACCAUCCUCCAAGGCUAAAUACUCCUGACUGACCGAUAGUGAACCAGUACCGUGAGGGAAAGGCGAAAAGAACCCCGGCGAGGGGAGUGAAAAAGAACCUGAAACCGU